rnacentral:rRNA from 1 species
UACGAAGGGGGCUAGCGUUGCUCGGAAUCACUGGGCGUAAAGCGCACGUAGGCGGACUCUUAAGUCGGUGGUGAAAUCCUGGAGCUCAACUCCAGAACUGCCUUCGAUACUGAGAGUCUCGAGUCCGGGAGAGGUGAGUGGAACUGCGAGUGUAGAGGUGAAAUUCGUAGAUAUUCGCAAAGAACACCAGUGGCGAAGGCGGGUCUCUGGACAGUUCCUGACGCUGAGGCACGAAGGCCAGGGGAGCAAACGGGG